CAGGGAAGGCUGGCGGUAUUUCCUUCCCUGGGUUAUCUGUAAAACGUGCUGCUGCUCUGUGUGAAGAGCUAACAGCUAGGUCAAUACGGGAAAGGUAGACCUGGAAAAGCUGACGUCUGACUGAGGCCAACCGGGAAACGGUGUUCAUUCACUCGCUGAGUUGAGGCGGCUAGUGUUAGCAUAGCAAUCUGCAUCAAGCUCUAUUAAUGAUUGGUAGGACUGUGGGCGGUCAGGAAGCGUCUUGUGCUGCUCUUCUCGCGCUCUUGACUCUGCUGCAGCGCCUUCUCAACUCCAAUGACUGUGCUCAACACACACAGCACAACUCAUUCUCAGCAACCGACUGCCUGAUAGUCAGCAGCAGCAGGGCACAGAUAAAAUAAAUAAUAAUUCGAUGCCAUGAUGGCCGCACAGCAAUUUUGACGUAGCUCAAAAACCCGCGACCAAUACAUUUUCACCCGUGACAUACUUUUCAAACCUGCUGGCGGCACACAAAUAGUGAUCAAUUUAGUGUGUGUGACCUUUAUUUAACUAGGCAAGUCAGUUGAGAACAAAUUAUUUACAAUGAAGGCCUACACCGGCUAAACCCGGAUGACGCUGGGCCAAUUGUGCGCCGCCCUAUGGGAUUCCCAAUCACGGCAGUUGUGAUACAGCCUGGAUUCAAACGAGGUUGUCUGAAGUGAUGCCUCUAGCACUGAGAUGCAGUGCCUUAGACCGCUAAACUGUAAUUUCUGUGGUAAAUUUGGGUUGACUUUGCAUAUCCUUAUGGGGCUAGUUAGGGGCCAUUGGUAAAUUAGUGUACAUGGGACAAUAACAUUCCAGAUAGCUCCAAAUUUCAAUGACUUAACCUCAAACCAACUGUAAAUUGCAGAAAUUCUUAUACAAAUAUUGAAAGCGUUUGAGAACUAAAAGGUGUGCAACAUGAGAAUAUUAUAAUUUACUGUAUAAUUUAUUGACGGUCCCUGACUAGCCCCAGCGAUUCAAAGUAAAACCAACUUGGCCACGGUUGCACACCAGCAACUCAUGCCACCUGCGAAC
rnacentral:lncRNA from 1 species